GUCGAACGGAAACAUGUCUAGCUUGCUAGAUGAUGUCGAGUGGCGGACGGGUGAGUAAUGCUUGGGAACUUGCCUUUGCGAGGGGGAUAACAGUUGGAAACGACUGCUAAUACCGCAUAAUGUCUUCGGACCAAACGGGGCUUCGGCUCCGGCGCAAAGAGAGGCCCAAGUGAGAUUAGCUAGUUGGUGAGGUAAAGGCUCACCAAGGCAACGAUCUCUAGCUGUUCUGAGAGGAAGAUCAGCCACACUGGGACUGAGACACGGCCCAGACUCCUACGGGAGGCAGCAGUGGGGAAUAUUGCACAAUGGGGGAAACCCUGAUGCAGCCAUGCCGCGUGUGUGAAGAAGGCCUUCGGGUUGUAAAGCACUUUCAGUUGUGAGGAAAAGUUAGUAGUUAAUACCUGCUAGCCGUGACGUUAACAACAGAAGAAGCACCGGCUAACUCCGUGCCAGCAGCCGCGGUAAUACGGAGGGUGCGAGCGUUAAUCGGAAUUACUGGGCGUAAAGCGCACGCAGGCGGUUUGUUAAGCUAGAUGUGAAAGCCCCGGGCUCAACCUGGGACGGUCAUUUAGAACUGGCAGACUAGAGUCUUGGAGAGGGGAGUGGAAUUCCAGGUGUAGCGGUGAAAUGCGUAGAUAUCUGGAGGAACAUCAGUGGCGAAGGCGACUCCCUGGCCAAAGACUGACGCUCAUGUGCGAAAGUGUGGGUAGCGAACAGGAUUAGAUACCCUGGUAGUCCACACCGUAAACGCUGUCUACUAGCUGUUUGUGACUUUAAGUCGUGAGUAGCGAAGCUAACGCGAUAAGUAGACCGCCUGGGGAGUACGGCCGCAAGGUUAAAACUCAAAUGAAUUGACGGGGGCCCGCACAAGCGGUGGAGCAUGUGGUUUAAUUCGAUGCAACGCGAAGAACCUUACCUACACUUGACAUGUUGAGAAGUUACCAGAGAUGGUUUCGUGCCUUCGGGAACUCAA
rnacentral:rRNA from 1 species